rnacentral:misc_RNA from 1 species
GUUUAGCCCUGAUAGCAGCGGUUAUCCUGACGGGCUAGGCGAGUUGCGGUGGCUAGGUUUUGGUGUGGCUACGUGGGAAAGAGACGCACCAAACCGUAGCCACCGCCUCGCCUAGCAGACAAUAACGGAUAGCAGGAUUAGCU